rnacentral:rRNA from 1 species
ACGGAAGGCAGCAGUGGGGAAUAUUGCACAAUGGGGGAAACCCUGAUGCAGCGACGCCGCGUGAGUGAAGAAGGCCUUCGGGUUGUAAAAAUCUGAUCUAAGGGAAGAAGAAAAUGACGGUACCUUAGGAGAAAGCCCCGGCUAACUACGUGCCAGCAGCCGCGGUAAUACGUAGGGGGCAAGCGUUAUCCGGAAUUAUUGGGCGUAAAGAGUGCGUAGGUGGUUACCUAAGCGCAAGGUUUAAUCUUGAGGCUUAACCUCAUUCUGCCUUGCGAACUGGGCUACUUGAGUGCAGGAGGGGAAAGCGGAAUUCCUAGUGUAGCGGUGAAAUGCGUAGAUAUUAGGAAGAACACCGGUGGCGAAGGCGGCUUUCUGGACUGUAACUGACGCUGAGGCACGAAAGCGUGGG